AUUGAACGCUGGCGGCAGGCCUAACACAUGCAAGUCGAACGAGUGGCGGACGGGUGAGUAAUGCCUGGGAAACUGCCUGAUCGAGGGGGAUAACUACUGGAAACGGUAGCUAAUACCGCCUACCAUCAGCUGUGCCCAGAUGGGAUUAGCUUGUUGGUGGGGUAACGGCUCACCAAGGCGACGAUCCCUAGCUGGUCUGAGAGGAUGACCAGCCACACUGGAACGGAGACACGGUCCAGACUCCUACGUGAGGCAGCAGUGGGGAAUAUUGCACAAUGGGCGAAAGCCUGAUGCAGCCAUGCCGCGUGUGUGAAGAAGGCCUUCGGAUUGUAAAGUACUUUCAGCGGGGAGGCGUUACCCGAAGAAAAAGCACCGGCUAACUCCGUGCCAGCAGCCGCGGUAAUUC
rnacentral:rRNA from 1 species